rnacentral:rRNA from 1 species
UUUUAUCAGAGAGUUUGAUCCUGGCUCAGGAUGAACGCUGGCGGCGUGCUUAACACAUGCAAGUCGAACGGGAAACCUUUUAUUGAAGCUUCGGCAGAUUUAGAUUGUUUCUAGUGGCGGACGGGUGAGUAACGCGUGGGUAACCUGCCUUAUACAGGGGGAUAACAGUCAGAAAUGACUGCUAAUACCGCAUAAGCGCACAGGACCGCAUGGUCCGGUGUGAAAAACUCCGGUGGUAUAAGAUGGACCCGCGUUGGAUUAGCUAGUUGGUGAGGUAACGGCCCACCAAGGC